rnacentral:rRNA from 1 species
GACGAACGCUGGCGGCGUGCUUAACACAUGCAAGUCGAACGAAGCUGCGAAGCGGAACCCUUCGGGGAGAAGGUUCGUAGACUUAGUGGCGGACGGGUGAGUAACGCGUGAGCAACCUGCCUAUCAGAGGGGGACAACAGUUAGAAACGACUGCUAAUACCGCAUAAGACCACGAAACCGCAUGGUUUUGAGGUCAAAGAUUUAUCGCUGAUAGAUGGGCUCGCGUCCCAUUAGCUAGUUGGUAGGGUAACGGCCUACCAAGGCGACGAUGGGUAGCCGACCUGAGAGGGUGAUCGGCCACAUUGGAACUGAGACACGGUCCAA